GUUGUUGUUUGGUGGUUGUUUUCUUUUUCCGCUUGUUUCUUUAAUUAUUUUUUUUUUCUUUUUUUUGUGGCUGUUGCUUCACUUUUUCACAUACAUUUCAGUUGUUCUUCUAUUUCGGUCAUUCCUUCGUUCGAUUGUUCUUUUCAUUUCAGUUGUUCUCUUUUCCGGUCGUUCAUUUUGUUCCGGCUGUUCUCUUUAUUCCGGUUGUUCUUUCUUUUCUUUCCGGUUGUUCCCUUUUCCACUUGUUCUCAUUGUUUCAGUUUUAUUUGCCAGUUGGUUCAUUUCAUUCCAGUUGUUCUCUUUUCCGGGUGUUCAUUUCAAUCCGGUUGUUCUCUUUUCCGGUUGUUCUUUUCCUUCCGGUUGUUCAUUUCAUUUUGGUUGUUCUCUUUUCCAGUUGUUCAUUUUGUUCCGGUUGUUCUCUUUUCCGGUUGUUCUCUUUUCCGGUUGUUCAUUUCAGUUGCUCUCUUUAUUCCAGUUGUUCUUUUCCUUCCGAUUGUUCUCUUUUCUGGUUCCUCUCUUUUCUGGUUGUUCUCUUUAUUCUGGUUGUUCUUUUCAUUCCAGUUACUCUCUUUUCCGGUUGUUCUCUUUAUUUUCGUUGUUCUCUUUUAUUCCGGUUGUUCUUUUCCUUCCAGUUGUUCUCUUUUCGGGUUGUUCUCUUUAUUCCGGUUGUUCUUUUCCUUUCUGUUGUUCUCUUUUCUGCUUGUUCGCAUUAUUUCAGUUUUAUUUUCCAGUUGUUCAUUUCAUUCCGACUGUUCUCUUCAUUUCGGUUCAUUUCAUUUUGGUUGUUCUCUUUUCCAGUUGUUCUCUUUAUUCCGGUUGUUCUUUUCCUUCCGAUUGUUCAUUUCAUUUCAGUUGUUCUCUUUUCCAGUUGUUCUCUUUUCCGCUUGUUCUCUUUAUUCUGGUUGUUCAUUUCAUUCCGGUUGUUCUCUUUUCCGGUUGUUCUCUUUUCUGGUUGUUCUCCUUUCCGGUUGUUCUUUCAUUUCAGUUGUUCUCUUUUGCGGUUGUUCUCCUUAUUCUGGUUGUUUUUUUCCUUCUGGUUGUUCAUUUCAUUUCAGUUGUUCUUUUCCUUCCGGUUUUUCAUUUCAUUUCGGUUGUUCUUUUCAUUGCGGUUGUUCUCUUUUCCGGUUGUUCUCUUUAUUCCAGUUGUUCUUUUCCUUCCGGUUGUUCUUUUCCUUCCUGUUCUUCUCUUUUCCGGUUGUUCAUUUCAGUUGUUCUCUUUAUUCCAGUUGUUCAUUUCAUUCCGAUUGUUCUCUUCAUUUUGGUUCAUUUCCUUCUGGUUGUUCUCUUUUCCGCUUGUUCUCUUUAUUCCGGUUGUUCUUUUCCUUCCGAUUGUUCAUUUCGUUCCAGUUGUUCUCUUUUCCAGUUGUUCUCUUUUCCGGUUGUUCUCU
rnacentral:lncRNA from 1 species